CCUGAAAGCAUCCCCUUGACUAAGAGCCGCUAACCACAGCCUCAAUGAAUGAUUAAUGAUUAUGACCGGAGCUUAUUGCAAACAGGCAUGUGACAGCAGAGCCACUACCCACCCGCAGGACCUGCCCAUGUGAUUGAUGAGCCACCGAGGGCCAGUCCGCAGCCAGAGAGCUAAGUUAGCACAACGUCCUCACCCUGCCGACCACUCCUAGCCAGAACCCUCCAGGAUGCCCAAGCCGAGCUCUCUGUUUCCCCUUCCAAAGCCAGGUCCAGCAGGAGACUGGGCUUGGCUCUCUGAUGGAUUCAGGACAGGGGACAAAUCAGCCACAUUCAUGGAGCAGGGACUGUGGGAGAUGAGGAAGGCACAGCCCCUACCUUCAGGAGUUUGUAUUCUCGUUAGCAAGACAAGCUUCCCUCCUGCCAAACAAGCUCAGACUGAACAAAGCAUCAGCCCUGAAUGUGCUGCCGAGAGGGAAUGAGAAAAGGGACAGCAACAUUGGGAUGAGAGGCUUUCGGGAGAGGCCAGAAAACCUGAGAAGGGCCGUUGAGGCCCCUGCUGGGCUGCAGGCUUCUACCCAUGACAGGGCCACUGCCCAACCUGGGCCACCAAAGUAUACAAGGCCACCAUUCCCACCCAGGUCUUCAGAGGCACCUCUGAGUGGCCCCGAGGCAGUGGCAGCAGGCGAGUUCAGCAGGGAACCGAGACCUCUUUGAGACAACGCAGAGAGCCAGCCAGGAGCCCAGGGACAACCCUUGUGGGGGCCGGGCUGCUCAGUGGAUCUGGCUCUGUUUCAUCUUAAUACACUCCUGCAUGUACCUGAUAUCUGAUACUCGUCCUACAGCAUGCAAAUCUAAUAAAUUCUUGGCUCCUGCAAGUUUCUUCAAAAAUAUAAAAGAGGAUCAUAUAUAAAGAAGUUGAUUAAUAUACACCCUGCUAAAACAGCCUGGAACAUCUGUGUAUUAAGUUCAUUUAUUAAAUUACACCAAUCUGUAUUUUAAUGAGUGAAAGAUACAGUACUUAUUCUGUCAUCCAUCAAAAUAAACUCAGGAAAUACUUAACAUUAUAAUCAUUUUUCUUGUUUGAACACGAGUUAUGAAAUAUGAAUCCCACACUAAGAAUGCUGGGCUUGCCGUCAUGAUCAAAUAUGUUUUCACAGGUGCAGCAAAUAUUCAGUUUUCAUUUCUUUCUCCAACUGUUGAAAAUAUAAACCAUGUUUUCUAUUCCUUCACUGGGUAACUCUGCCUUCCCUCCACAUGGCAUCCAUUAUUGCAGACUUAUUACCCCACCGUCUUUUUCCCCCCAAACCCACUCCUCCUAAAGUUGCUUCGUAAUGAAAACACAGGCUUCUGUGGGGCCCCCACAGCACAAGCUCUUCCCCGGGGCGGGGGGGUCUUUGGGCUCAGGCUGGGGCACUGUCCUUUACUUCCAUCCUAAUGGCAGCCACGUCCUCUUGGUUGGAGCCUGAGUUCUGGAAGCUGUUUGAAGCAAACAGUCCAUCUGGUCAAAAACACAAAUGGCAUGGAGCCCUCCAGCCACAGUGAAGCCAACAGUGAAGCUGGAGCGUCUCCAGGUCCACUGGCUGCCUCUCAGAAAUAUCCCACUAAGACGAGGGGGCAACUUUAAUAGGAGCCGAAGCCUCAGGAGUGAGUCCAGAGUUUACCUGCGUUCAGCUAUCCUUGGACCAGAAGUCUCGGGACUCUUGGAAUAAAACUACUCACAAAGCAGCAAGUUUCCAGGAGCUGAGGAAGGCCAGUGCCUGUGCCCAGUGUCAGUGGGAGCUCAUCGUGUCGGAGGAUUCUGGGAAAAGCUCCAGCUAUGUAAUCUGCUGAGCAGGGCCAGCCCUAUAGGAGGCACAUGAACCCAGUCACAAGCUGGCCAGGCUUCUUCCUGUAUAACUCACUCUGUGGCGCCCCAUCACCAGCAGGGAAGUCACACUUCCACCACACGGCUUCUGCCUCUCUUGGAUUUCAUUUCUGGCUGCUCCUACCUGGUCCCCUAACACAUCCACGACUCACACACUUUACCAUUCAGCCCUGCUGAGCUACCACCUGCUGGGGCACAAAUCUUCCAUGUUCUCUCCUACCCCAGGUUUUGCUCUUGCUGUUCCCUCUUCC
rnacentral:lncRNA from 10 species